rnacentral:misc_RNA from 1 species
GAUGAAGAACGUAGCGAAAUGCGAUAAGUAAUGUGAAUUGCAGAAUUCAGUGAAUCAUCGAAUCUUUGAACGCACAUUGCGCCCGCCAGUAUUCUGGCGGGCAUGCCUGUUCGAGCGUCAUUACAACCCUCAGGCCCCCGGGCCUGGCGUUGGGGAUCGGCGGAAGCCCCCUGCGGGCACAACGCCGUCCCCCAAAUACAGUGGCGGUCCCGCCGCAGCUUCCAUUGCGUAGUAGCUAACACCUCGCAACUGGAGAGCGGCGCGGCCACGCCGUAAAACACCCAACUUCUGAAUGUUGACCUCGAAUCAGGUAGGAAUACCCGCUGAACUUAAGCAUAACAAUAAGCGGAGGA